CCUACGGGAGGCAGCAGUGAGGAAUAUUGGGCAAUGGGGGCAACCCUGACCCAGCCAUGCCGCGUGAGUGAAGAAGGUCUUCGGAUUGUAAAGCUCUUUCGGACGUGACGUUGCUGACGGUACUCUAAGAAUAAGCACCGGCUAACUACGUGCCAGCAGCCGCGGUAAUACGUAGGGUGCGAGCGUUAAUCGGAAUUACUGGGCGUAAAGGGUGCGCAGGCGGUUGAGUAAGACAGCUGUGAAAUCCCCGAGCGUAACUCGGGAAUGGCAUAUGUGACUGCUCGACUAGAGUGUGUCAGAGGGAGGUGGAAUUCCACGUGUAGCAGUGAAAUGCGUAGAUAUGUGGAAGAACACCGAUGGCGAAGGCAGGCUCCUGGGACAUAACUGACGCUCAGGCACGAAAGCGUGGGGAGCAAACAGGAUUAGAUACCCGGGUAGUC
rnacentral:rRNA from 1 species